CAUAUCUAAAAAAAACAAUCGUCAAUGGAGAAAGCCUUAUAUAUAACCUGGAAGGCAUCGUGAUGCAUCAAGGCCCACACGCGAAAGAAGGCCAUUACACAGCUUUAUGCAAAGAUGAAAAUGCCAUAUGGCAUAUUUGCGAUGAUGAAGAUGUGGG